rnacentral:rRNA from 1 species
CGUAGGUGGCAAGCGUUGUCCGGAUUUAUUGGGCGUAAAGCGAGCGCAGGCGGAAGAAUAAGUCUGAUGUGAAAGCCCUCGGCUUAACCGGGGAACUGCAUCGGAAACUGUUUUCUUGAGUGCAGAAGAGGAGAGUGGAACUCCAUGUGUAGCGGUGGAAUGCGUAGAUAUAUGGAAGAACACCAGUGGCGAAGGCGGCUCUCUGGUCUGCAACUGACGCUGAGGCUCGAAAGCAUGGGUAGCGAACAGGAUU